AGGGUACUCUUCAAUCAAAGGCAGAAAAUCUGAAAUGGAUAAAAGGAAUUGUAUGUUUAGUUGGUGUGUGUGUAUAACGUAGAAUUCAUUGCUACAGGAUAUCUUUAGACAAAUAGUUUAGUAAGAUUUUUAAAGAAGUACUUAUUUAUCUGUCUAGGAUAAACUUGCAUUUACACAAAUUAAAAUAAACCUGCAAACACUAUCGAUCUUCAUGCUUCAGAGUUUAUCUGUGUUUUUCAGCAUGCUGGGUGAUGGGAAGAGAAGCAAAGGAAAAGAGCAGAAGGGGUGGAGAACAUUACAUGACACAUCCUCCACCUCAAGCAGCAUGCAGCCUUCUGAUUUCCCUCUCCACCCCAAUAAAAGACGAACAUUUCAGAAAAUAGCAGCUGCAGAUACACUACCUCUUGUAGCAUAACAUUAUGUGGGCUAUUAAUUCUUGUGUAUAAAUUGAUCAUCUGAUGGCUUUGGGAAGAAAUGUCUGUUUAUGGUACAUUAAUGCACAAUUUGAUGCAUUAUGCCUUCCUCUGCAGCAUCCAGAAUUGGCCACUGUCAGAGACAGGAUAUUGCUCUAGAUGCAUGAUUGGUCUGUCCAAUAUGUCAAUCCUGUGUUCCUCUGUAGCACCAUGAGGAAGAUACAAGGUUUUUCCUGGGUCUGCAAUAGGUUCAGCCCUUUCAUGUAUGUUUCACUUUACAUAGCUCCUAAACUAUAUUGAGUUCAACAGCAAACAUAAUCCAUUAAGAAUCCCUGCCAAAGGCAUAUAACCUUUCCCGCUUAAAACAGGAAAGAAAGGAGGAGAGGUCAAAAGAUGAAGUUCAAAUAUAUCAUUCAUAUUGCAGUAUCAACACAUUGUAUAGUAGAUUAACUGUAGUAUAAUGUAUUGAUUUUUCUACAUGCCUAAUAUUUUAUCAGUAUCCAGGACAUAUGAGGGAGAUUGAUGAAGGGCAAAAAGUUUCUCAGUUCAGUACCGUAAAGGCUAGAACCAUAUUUAAUAGCCAUUCAUAUCUAAGACAUUAAAUUUUAUUUGACUUCGUGUCUUGUGGGAAGCUAACUAGGUGAUCUUUGCUCUGUGAGCUGUGGAUGGUUGUCCAUAACUAUUUCCUCCUUGCACAAUUUAGUAUGUGACUGGUAGUUCUUAUGUUGGAAAUCUAAAAACAACUUCAGUACUGCAAAUCAGCAAUCAUGUCUCUGGAUGCAGCAUGACAAAUUUUUUGCAUUUAGCUAAUAGCACUUAGUUUUUCCCAGGGAUGAUUGUUCAUUAACUAAGGGCUCCUAAGUGCCUCUUCCAUGGAAAACCGCUGCUAAAAUGCCACAAGGUUGAUUGUAGGGAGUGAAAGCCUCUGAAAGGAGGAAGAGGUUUUCAGUCUUGCAAGUGUGAUAGAGGGCAUUUCCUGCCGAUCCUAAACCACCCAUCGAAAGUAGAACCUAAACUUGGGACAUGCCCUUCCCUUGCUGGCCUUCCCCUCUAUCUUGGCACUGCGCUUCUGAGUCCCUGGCUGUCACUGGUGGCACACCUGUGCCCUCCUGCCCACAGCUGCAAACAGGGUAGAGGUGCAGAGGGGUAAGUAGCACUUCAUACGCAAUUAUCUGUCUCUUGAUCCUGUACCUGUUUAUGGCAUGUAUAGUUAAAAAGAAACAAAUACAAAUAAAAUUACAAACACCAAAUCA
ensembl:lncRNA